UACAGAGGUCUCAAGCGUUGUUCGGAUUCAUUGGGCGUAAAGGGUGCGUAGGCGGCGCGGUAAGUCGGAUGUGAAAUCUCGGAGCUUAACUCCGAAACUGCAUUCGAUACUGCCGUGCUUGAGGACUGGAGAGGAGACUGGAAUUUACGGUGUAGCGGUGAAAUGCGUAGAUAUCAUGAGGAAGACCAGUGGCGAAGGCGGGUCUCUGGACAGUUCCUGACACUGAGGCACGAAGGCCAGGGGAGCAAACGGG
rnacentral:rRNA from 1 species